CCGUAGGGGAACCUGCGGCUGGAUCACCUCCUU
rnacentral:rRNA from 1 species